UACUAUUUGUUUAUUUUUUUUGUUUCUUCGAGAUUCAUAUGUUUGAGUGGUCUCAUCCCAGUUGGAACCACAAUUCUAUCUCCACCAUGGUUCUAACAAGUUUCUUGUUUUAGAUCGUAGAAACGUCACCCCAUUAGGCAAUUCUUGCAAUUAAGUUUCUUGUUAUGGUAUUUUUUUUUGUUUAUUUUUUAUUUUUUUAUCAAUGGGAUGUGUGUUAGUCCACUAGGUGUUGUUGUUGUAUCUUGUUUGAUUGCAUUCUUGAGUUUUCUAAGUAGUCUCAAGAUAAGGUUGCUGUUCUUCACGUAUAAACCGUUAGCUUGCAAUUCCUUGGUGAUUCUUUCAAGGGUUAAGUGCCCUUCUUUUGCAUUAAGAGUAUAUGGUAUUCAGCAUGAAGACAACACUAAGAAACGACCCCUAAGGUAAUUGAGUUACAGAAUUGAUCUAAACAAAGUAAUAAACUAAGGAUCAUGUAUAAAAACACAAUAAUGUGACACAAAAGAAGGCCCAUGGAACACUAGCUGAGCCCAUGCGCAGAAAAUCUUAAAAAUGAAAAAAGAAGAAAAAAAAGAUUUUUGACUCUUGAAGCAUAAAAAAGAUGUGGAAAACUAAACUAGCAGCAUGUCUAAUUCAGGGUAAUGAGAUCAGAAUUCAGUUGUAUAUACUUUCAACUUCUCCUGCCAUUUAUCUCCUAAAUCCCUCCCUAGCUUGGAAAUAUAUGAUCCCAACCCAAUGAGCUAAAGGCAUGGCAUAUUCAAAUUUUAAAGAUAAAUAUCAUGUUUUUUUUUUUUUUUUCUUCUCAUGAAAUGUGUAUUGUAAUUUGUAUAAACUAAAAGACCUUUGCCUCCAUUCCUUAGACUUACAAAGACAUUUUGCUCACAAUCUUGUGCAUUGUUUCCCAUUUUCUGAAUUUUUCACUAUGGUUGAGAUAUAUAUUCAAAUAUACUGUUAGAAGUAAUUUAGGAUUAUGCAGCUUUUUCUUCCUCAUUACUCCUUGUUUCUGUUCCGUGAUUGAUAAACUAAUGACUUUAAGGUGUGUAAGAGAGAUCUUGGAUCAAGUUUAUCUUUCCACACACUUCUGUUUUCAUGUUUUUUUUUAGUUAGAGAAAAAAGUAACACCGUCCUCGAAAGUGCGUGCAGAUGUUGUAAGAAGUGGAUUCUUGAAUACCCAAAAGGGAGCUUCUGAUGGAUGCCAAGAUGGUAACAAGGUAUCUGGUCAGCUGCAUAGAUAUGAGCAUCUGAGUAGAAUGGCAGCAAUUGACGAGUCAGAAAGCCUUUCUGAUAUCGAUGAUGUUGAGGUUGACAAAUAUCUGCACAGUAAGGAAGAGAUGCAUUACAAAAAGAUUAUUUGGGAACAAAUGAAUAGUAAACAUGAAACGAGCCAAGGUGCCGAGAAUGCCAACACGGAAGGCAUAAUUGCAAAAUGCGAUACAAAGUUUAACAAGAAGUUUAGCAUCGACAGAUUGAGUCUGAAAUAAUUAAGUAUGAUAAUGAAUUUGACCACAAGACUGAUUACGGUGAAGGUGUUGAAAGCUGCGGAGCCUAUGGUGUGGAUUAUGAUUAUGAGGAUUGACAUGAGAUAUGAAGAGCUUGGCUUUAUGUUAAAAUUUUAAAAUUUAUUAUUUGAUGUUACAUUAGUUUAUGAGAAAAUUUUGUAAAAAUAUAUUUUAUUUUUCUAUAAUUUUUUCUUUCCUGACACAUUCAUCACAUGACGAUGAAUAUGCUAUGAACUUGUGCCCUUACAUAGCUUGAGAAAGAAAUAAAAGAAAAUUUUGAUAUUAUUUAUUA